UACGGAGGGUGCGAGCGUUGUCCGGAAUCACUGGGCGUAAAGGGCGCGUAGGCGGCUUCUUAAGCGGGCGGUGAAAGCCCGGGGCUCAACCCCGGGUCGGCCGUGCGAACUGGGAAGCUCGAGCACUGUAGAGGCAGGUGGAAUUCCGGGUGUAGCGGUGGAAUGCGUAGAGAUCCGGAAGAACACCGGAGGCGAAGGCGGCUUGCUGGGCGCGAUCUGACGCUGAGGCGCGAAAGCGUGGGGAGCGAACAGG
rnacentral:rRNA from 1 species